AUUGAACGCUGGCGGCAUGCUUUACACAUGCAAGUCGAACGGUAACAGGGAGCUUGCUCCGCUGACGAGUGGCGAACGGGUGAGUAAUGCAUCGGAACGUACCCAGUCGUGGGGAUAACGUAGCGAAAGUUACGCUAAUACCGCAUACGUCCUGAGGGAGAAAGCGGGGGACCGUAAGGCCUCGCGCGAUUGGAGCGGCCGAUGUCGGAUUAGCUAGUUGGUAGGGUAAAGGCCUACCAAGGCGACGAUCCGUAGCGGGUCUGAGAGGAUGAUCCGCCACACUGGGACUGAGACACGGCCCAGACUCCUACGGGAGGCAGCAGUGGGGAAUUUUGGACAAUGGGCGAAAGCCUGAUCCAGCCAUGCCGCGUGAGCGAAGAAGGCCU
rnacentral:rRNA from 1 species